GGUUGUAGCUCAGUGGUAGAGCACUUGCCUAGCAUGUGUGAGGCACUGGGUUUAAUACUCGGCACCA
rnacentral:tRNA from 1 species